UACGAAGGACCCAAGCGUUAUCCGGAUUUAUUGGGUUUAAAGGGUGCGUAGGCGGAAUAUUAAGUCAGUGGUGAAAGCCUACAGCUUAACUGUAGAACUGCCACUGAUACUGAUGUUCUUGAGUAUGAUUGAGGUGGGCGGAAUGUGUCAUGUAGCGGUGAAAUGCUUAGAUAUGACACAGAACACCGAUUGCGAAGGCAGCUCACUAAGCCAUAACUGACGCUGAUGCACGAAAGCGUGGGGAGCAAACAGG
rnacentral:rRNA from 1 species